rnacentral:tRNA from 1 species
GGGCCUGUGGCGCAGCCAGAUGUGGAGCGUUCUUCACAUUUUUCAGUACGCUUCGCUUCCUGAAAUGGAUAGCGCAGCAGCCUUCUAAGCUGACGGUCGCGAGUUCAAAUCUCGCCAGGCCCG